UAGGCGCGGGCAGGUGGCCCAGAGGGCGCUCUGCAAGCUGUUGCCAAGUUUAGGAGUCUUUCAAGAUGUUGAUUUUAUUAUAUUCCUUUGUAGACGUGGCUCGCUUUAUAAGGACCAUGUUUCUGUGUCCCAGUGGGGGGCGAAAGCCCAUUUAUGAAACGAACAGUUGAGUGACCAAUUUUUGCUUUGAAUUUUUAUCUGGCGUUUGUUAAGAUUCUUGGGCUUCUAACAAGCAGUCCUUAUUAGAUACAGCUUUUCCUGUCAAGGCUCACGUUAUAGCUGAAGCACGAACAUAUAUUUUUUUUUUCUGAACACUGUAAUAAGAUAUGGAAGCUGACUUCUGAGGAGCCAAGUGUCUCACCCAUGGUUGCCCAGCUGGGGCCAACCACUGUCACAGGACUGCUGAACUGGUUACAUAAAUCUGCAGAGCCCAGUGCAGAGUGAAAAUGCAAGACCCUUCAUUCAAAAAGAACUCAUCAAAUAUGUCCUGUGAAGCUAUCUGGUUCAAGGACAUCUCCCCACUUUUCCAGAAAACAAAGGACAGUGAUAAAUUGCAGAGGAAGAAGAUAAUUUGACAGUCUUUUUCUGCUAAAGGCCUAUCCUAAAAGAAGCCAACUUAUACUUGAAACAUUGUGGUUGGAAACCAUCUUGUCAUGAACAAACUUACCAGGAAUUCAAUACAUCUAGCUUUCCAGUUCCUCUGUGGAAUACUUCAUCAUCUGGCAUAUGACCUCAGACCAUCUCCCAGCAUCUGUGUCUGCAGCCAUUGUACCUCAGCCUCUUGGGGCCAAGCAGGGCCCAUAUGUGUGCUUUGUGUGAAACAGCUCCCUGAAGCAGUUUUUGAAGCAGCAUGGGAGUGGAGGAGUCAUGAAGGCUGGUUCUACCCCAUGGUAUCACAGUGGUCAGGGUUUGGGGAGGGACAGUGGAAUACUUCUAGAAAAUCUUUUCAGUCCAGGUCUCUUGCUGCACAGCAGAGGGAAAACCAGAAUGAAUACUCCCUGGAAAGCCGGUCUGAGAAAAGGCACCCCAGAAGGGGGCUCGUUCAGGUGUUGCAUUUUCUUCUCUGGAGUUUGUCCACCAAAUACAUCACUUCACUCUGAAUGCUGUGCACAGUUGAUACAUGUCUUGCUUUUCUUCAAGGGGUGACUGAUUUGAUUAGACAAGGAAUUGACCCAGCGGAAAAUAGAAGAAUGAGCUUUCUGUCACUGUCCUUACUUCUAAACUCAAUUGCUUUAGGGAGAUUUUAUUGUUAAAAGGAAACUUUCACGUGUCUCUCUUGACUAAUAGACUUCUAUACUUGUAGAAGGAAAAAAAUAGAAUGUGAAUCAGUACUGUAUGUACUUUAAAAAGAAAACAAAACUCCUCUUCUAAAUUUUCCUGAAAAUAAUUUAAUUAUUUUAGAAUGAAUUGGAUGGUAUGUACAAAUGUUUAAGUAGUUUACUAUGUUACCUUAAGAGAGAAAACUGGAACAUAGGUUUUGCCAUAGUGAUGAUAAUACCUACCUAUACCUUCUCGUCUUGACUAUAUAAGGAUUCCAUAAUCUGGAAUUCACUGUACCUGUUUUCACACAAACUUUGAUAUCACAUGAGUGACAAAAAUGGAAAAAUACAGGAAGGGGAUUUUUUAUUUAGUAGAGGGAGAAGUCAGCUGAGUAGGCAAUUUUACAUCUUCUGGCCCUUUUUUGUUUACAGUGACCGUAUAGGAGCCAUGUAACAGUAUACCUUUUGCUUUCAUGAUUGGUUUUUCAACUUUAUUGAGGUAUAGAUGGAAUAUGAUAGACUAUAGACUACAUAUAUUCAAAAUAAAUAAUUUGGUGUUUGUGUAUAUACAUACAUAUAUAUUUAUAUGUACUCAGUAAUCCAUCACUAUUAUGAAAAUAAUGACUUUAUCUGUUACUACAAAGUUUACUUGUGCUUCUUUGUAACCCCUGAACCACUGAACUUGCUUAAGACCCUUAGGGAUCAGCUUUUUUGCCAUUUUAGAUUAGUUUAUAUUUUCCAUAAUUUGAUAUAAGUGUAAUCCAACAGUAUGUACCCCCUUCUAUCUGCCUUUUCCUUCAGCAUUAUUAUUUCAAUUUAGCAAUGAUGCUGCAUGUACCAUUAGUUCAUUUAUUACUGAGUCUUAGAUCCUUUUCUGGACAUUUUGUAAUUCAUUGUUCACUUGUUGAUGGACAUCUGGGUUGUUUCCAGUUUGGGGCUAUUACAAAUAAGACUGUGAUUAACAUUUGUGUUACAAGUCUUUAUAAGAACACGCAUUUUGAUUUAUUUAAAAAAAUUCUUUUUUUAAAAUUUAUCUUAGAACUAUAUUGCUAGGAGUGGAAUGGCUGGUUAUACGCCAGGUGUAUGUUUAACUUUUUGGAAAAAAAAAUCCAAACUAUUUGGCAAAACUAGUUGUGCCAUUUUACAUUUGCAGUAAUAGUGUUUGAGUGUUUAAUUUGCUCCAUAUUUUUUCCAUCCUACAUUGUCUUCCUAAUAACACACAUUCUAAAAGGUGUUUGCUGGUACCUCAUUGUGAUUUAAUUUGCAU